CCUACGGGGGGCUGCAGUGGGGAAUAUUGCACAAUGGGCGCAAGCCUGAUGCAGCCAUGCCGCGUGUGUGAAGAAGGCCUUCGGGUUGUAAAGCACUUUCAGCGGGGAGGAAGGCGUUAAGGUUAAUAACCUUGUCGAUUGACGUUACCCGCAGAAGAAGCACCGGCUAACUCCGUGCCAGCAGCCGCGGUAAUACGGAGGGUGCAAGCGUUAAUCGGAAUUACUGGGCGUAAAGCGCACGCAGGCGGUCUGUCAAGUCGGAUGUGAAAUCCCCGGGCUCAACCUGGGAACUGCAUUCGAAACUGGCAGGCUAGAGUCUUGUAGAGGGGGGUAGAAUUCCAGGUGUAGCGGUGAAAUGCGUAGAGACCUGGAGGAAUACCGGUGGCGAAGGCGGCCCCCUGGACAAAGACUGACGCUCAGGUGCGAAAGCGUGGGGAGCAAACAGGAUUAGAUACCCGAGUAGUC
rnacentral:rRNA from 1 species